GACGAACGCUGGCGGCGUGCUUAACACAUGCCAGUCGAACGGAAAGGCCCUGCUUUUGUUGGGUGCUCGAGUGGCUAACGGUUGAGUAACACGUGAGUAACCUGCCCUUGACUUUGGGAUAACUUCAGGAAACUGGGGCUAAUACCGGAUAGUAGCUCCUGCUGCAUGGUGGGGGUUGGAAAGUUUCGGCGGUUGGGGAUGGACUCGCGGCUUAUCAGCUUGUUGGUGGGGUAGUGGCUUACCAAGGCUUUGACGGGUAGCCGGCCUGAGAGGGUGACCGGCCACAGUGGGACUGAGAUACGGCCCAGACUCCUACGGGAGGCAGCAGUGGGGAAUAUUGCAAAAUGGGCGGAAGCCUGAUGCAGCAACGCCGCGUGCGGGAUGACGGCCGUCGGGUUGUAAACCGCUUUCGCCUGUGACGAAGCGUGAGUGACGGUAAUGGGUAAAGAAGCACCGGCUAACUACGUG
rnacentral:rRNA from 1 species